rnacentral:rRNA from 1 species
GUGGGGAAUAUUGGGCAAUGGGCGCAAGCCUGACCCAGCAACGCCGCGUGAGUGAUGAAGGUCUUCGGAUUGUAAAGCUCUGUUAAUCGGGACGAAAGAGCCUAGUGUGAAUAAUGCUAGGAAGUGACGGUACCGGAAUAGAAAGCCACGGCUAACUCCGUGCCAGCAGCCGCGGUAAUACGGAGGGGGCUAGCGUUGUUCGGAAUUACUGGGCGUAAAGCGUACGUAGGCGGAUGCGCAAGUUGGGGGUGAAAUCCCGGGGCUUAACCUCGGAAUUGCCCUCAAAACUGUGUGUCUUGAGGCCGAGAGAGGUAAGGGGAAUUCCUAGUGUAGAGGUGAAAUUCGUAGAUAUUAGGAAGAACACCAGUGGCGAAGGCGCCUUACUGGCUCGGUACUGACGCUGAGGUACGAAAGCGUGGGGAGCAAACAGGAUUAGAAACCCCAGUAGUCC